rnacentral:rRNA from 1 species
AAUGAACGCUGGCGGUAGGCCUAACACAUGCAAGUCGAACGGCAGCACAGUAAGAGCUUGCUCUUACGGGUGGCGGGUGGCGGACGGGUGAGGAAUACAUCGGAAUCUACUUUUUCGUGGGGGAUAACGUAGGGAAACUUACGCUAAUACCGCAUACGACCUACGGGUGAAAGCAGGGGAUCUUCGGACCUUGCGCGAUUGAAUGAGCCGAUGUCGGAUUAGCUAGUUGGCGGGGUAAAGGCCCACCAAGGCGACGAUCCGUAGCUGGUCUGAGAGGAUGAUCAGCCACACUGGAACUGAGACACGGUCCAGACUCCUACGGGAGGCAGCAGUGGGGAAUAUUGGACAAUGGGCGCAAGCCUGGUCCAGCCAUACCGCGUGGGUGAAGAAGGCCUUCGGGUUGUAAAGCCCUUUUGUUGGGAAAGAAAAGCAGCAGGUUAAUACCCCGCUGUUCUGACGGUACCCAAAGAAUAAGCACCGGCUAACUUCGUG